rfam:Triticum aestivum genome assembly, contig: Triticum_aestivum_CS42_TGACv1_scaffold_223153_3B
GAAGUACUCCCUCCGUUCGGAAUUACUUGUCUCGGAAAUGGAUGUAUCUAGAACUAAAAUACGUCUAGAUACAUCCAUUUUCGCGACAAUUAAUUCCGAACGGAGGGAGUAGUAG